GGGAACACUGACCCUGGAGCCAGACUGCCCUUAUGGAAUGUCUGUGUGACCUCGAGUAGUUUAUUCAGCUUCUCUGUGCCUCAAUGUCCUCACCUGUAAAAUGUGGGUAAGUGAUAGGACCUAUUUUCGGUCUCCUCUGGAAUUCUGACAGGGCUGGACAUUUCCACAGGUUUAUGGGUAACCUAACAAAACUCUUUUCACAGACUCACUAAGGGAGCCCCAAGGAAAGAACUUCGGUGAGCAAGACUUGAGGAAGAGGGCGUUAGGCCGCUGUGGUCCAGGACACGUCAGUUACAUGUGAAUCCCUUCUGGCAAUUCAGCAAUAGCCAUUGUAACUUUCAGACCACAUGGAAAUUUUCCACUUGGAAAUUCACACGUUGUUUCCUCUUGGUUUAUCAGUAGGCAGAAGGUAAGAAGACAAAUUAGCUUGCCUUGGGUUUAUCUCUCAGUUACUACAUGGAGGGAGGGGGGAAACUGGUUUAACCUUGGCUGCUUGAUAGUGGAUCUGAAAGUCUAGUAUUGCAUGAGAAGUCCCUGCUAGAUAAAAUGUAAUAUUGGGGUCCCAUCUCCAGUGACUGUGGUUUAGUAGUUCCGGGUGGGCCUUGGCAGUAUACGUUUUUGAGCAAGCA
rnacentral:lncRNA from 1 species